UUUUUAAUUCGUUCUCCUAAAAUGAUAUUUAUCGACUUUGAUGUUAAAUAAAAAAAAACAUAUUACAAUUUUUAAUAAAAAAUUUUUCUUCCUAUCAACAAAGCAGUUCAAAAUUCCUGUAAAAAUUUAAAAUUCUUUCGAGAUAACUUUUUUCUACGAGUUACGACAAGCAUAGAUUAUUUUCUAAAUCUAUUUUUUUUUUUUUUUGAUUUCUUAUAUAAAUGUUUGCCAAUGUUUGAUUUUUAUAAUAUUAAGAAUUUUCAUUUUAAAAUAAUUUUAAGUAUUUUCUAGUCUCCGUAGGCUAUUAUUACAGGACUAUCUACUUAUUAACAAGGAUGUUGCGCGUGAGCAACUUUAAGAAGGGCGAUGAAAGGACAUUUGAUUAUUUUGGAAUGCUGUAUCGUGAACAGCUAGGUGAUGAUGAUGAGUUUAAAACCAGUUCUCCUUGGAUGCUUUGAGGGGCCAAGAGUUUCAUGAGAUAUUCAGGAUUACUCGCCCCCGUUUCCGUGAAUCUUUGAAGCGUUAUGAGACAAUUAGGCACUUCCAAAUUAUAACUUACUUCCGACAACUAUCUUCGUUGUUUAUCUAUGAAUUUUCCUGCAAUUUGGAAUCAAUUACAUGUAAAAAAAAAUCAUAAACAGUAUAUGAUAUAUUAUUUCUUAUAAGAAAACCAUAAAAUAUAAUUUUUUUAUAUAAUGUAAAAUAAAAGUCAAACUAUUGAAUGAAUUACUUCAUAGUACAAUUUGUUCAAUAGUUCCGUAAUAUCAUCUUGUGAAUUACAUCUAUUUGACAUCAAAGUAUAAAUUGAAUUGGGAAAAUGAAGGAUGGAUGAACAUUGUAUUGACUUACAAAUUCCAUUAUAUCCAUAUAUAACAUCAAUUUCAUUAUACAAUUUAAAAUGAAUACUGUUUGAUACCGACAUAAUAAAUGUGAUAUCUCAUUGCAUUCAUACCUGUUUACACUGAACAAAAUACAUUUAUCAGUUAGUGAUACUGCUAUACUUUAGAUAGCUUGAUUUGCUAUCUAAAUCUUACAAAUUUCUUUCAGAAUUUUACUUGUAACGGUAACAAACAAUUUAAAGAACAAUCAUCUUUAAAGAGACCGUGUACAACAUAUACUUACGAAUAAAAUAAAAAUACGUAUAAUCCAUCCUUUAUUUUUUUCCAAUUCCUGGAAUUAAACGAGAUACGUAACAUCAGGCGAUCGUGGUAUUUUCAAAAAAUCACGUAUGUACACACUUUCUGAUUCCAAUGCAGAUAUCGGCUCGUGACAUUCGAAAAUCCGGCACACAGAGCAACAAGUCCUUCGGUGCAAGAUCGAUCCAUCCGAUCGAUCAGAGUGGCGCGUGGCAAUGCCAC